AGAGUUUGAUCAUGGCUCAGGAUGAACGCUGGCGGCGUGCCUAACACAUGCAAGUCGAACGAAGCACUUAUAACUGAUUCCUUCGGGGAGAAGAAAUAUGUGACUGAGUGGCGGACGGGUGAGUAACGCGUGGGUAACCUGCCUUAUACAGGGGGAUAACAGUUAGAAAUGACUGCUAAUACCGCAUAAGCGCACGGUCUCGCAUGAGAUAGUGUGAAAAACUCCGGUGGUAUAAGAUGGACCCGCGUCUGAUUAGCUAGUUGGUGGGGUAACGGCUCACCAAGGCGACGAUCAGUAGCCGACCUGAGAGGGUGAUCGGCCACAUUGGGACUGAGACACGGCCCAA
rnacentral:rRNA from 1 species